UCUUGUGGUGAUCCUUGGGACACUUCUAGUGCAGAUUUUGUUUUGCUAAACAAUAUUGUUGGGACUUCCCAGAUGCUUUCUCAAGAAAGCUCCAGCUUUUCUGGAAGGAGUUCAGAAAGGAAAGUUUGUUGCUAUUUGCAGCAGCAAACAGCUAAGAAAUCAAAGGCAACAAUUCAUAACACAGAUCAGCAAAAGUAGCCUGAGGUGUUGUUGGUGGUGAGCAAUGUACCCUGCAGAGGCAGCAAAGCACAGGAUAUCAACCAUAGAUGUGCUGAAACCACAGAGCUCCAGCCUGGGAUCUCUGCCUUGUAAUCAGAUGGGUGAGGUUUGGGUUAAAUAAAAUACAAAAUGAAUACAAUA